UGUUCCAGCCAGCACACCUGUCUCUCAUCAAUUCAUUACCCUUUGGCUGCAUCAAGAAUCCUUGACUGCAACCCAAGAAAUCUCUGAGUUGUUUAAUCUGAAAAGGAAGAUCUUACCAGAAAAACUAAGCUGGCCAUCGAUCAUAAAACCUGUGAAUCCUCUGCCAAUCUAAUCUCCGAUGUCACCACCACCUGGAAACUUCAUCUGCCUUCUCCAUCUGCAAGUUCCCAAGGAAAAUAGAUCCUCCAGUGUCCCCCCAGUUACAGGCAACAGUGUUAGCCACUCCACCACGAUGCUGUCCAGCAGCUCUUUGGACCUUUUAUUAACAAAGAAUGUGUGACUGGUUGGAUUUCUGCAUGGAGUGUCUGCAAACCCGAGAUGAGCUGACUGUAUGGAGGAUAGCACCAUGUUCAGACAUCGCCAUGGCACAGGUUGUAGAAGUUCAAGAUUCUCCCGUGAUGUCUGUCCCCCCCGUCCUUGCAGCAGGCUGCCACUCUGUUAGCUGAGCACAGUGACAUCAAGCCAGUAUCAACUCUCCAUUAAAAUUCUAUUGCGAUUAAAAAGAAGUGUGAA